rnacentral:rRNA from 1 species
UACGUAGGGGGGCUAGCGUUGUCCGGAUUUAUUGGGCGUAAAGAGCGUGUAGGCGGUCAGGUAGGUCGGUUGUGAAAACUGGAGGCUCAACCUCCAGCCUGCAGUGGGUACGGGCAGACUAGAGUGCGGUAGGGGAGACUGGAAUUCCUGGUGUAGCGGUGAAAUGCGCAGAUAUCAGGAGGAACACCGGUGGCGAAGGCGGGUCUCUGGGCCGUAACUGACGCUGAGGAGCGAAAGCAUGGGGAGCGAACAGG